GCAAACUUGGUCAUUUAGAGGAAGUACAAGUCGUAACAAGGUUUCCGUAGGUGAACCUGCGGAAGGAUCAUUAACAAAUCAAUGUGUGAUGUGUGUGUGUUGUACAUUUUGUGCAACACACAUUAUCACUAAAUUUGUGCUCCAAGCUAGUCUUGGUUGCAUCAUAUCAUAUUCAUGAUUUUAUUGUCUAGUGUCAUAUUAUACAAGUAAUCUAUUUAAUACUUUUAACAAUGGAUCUCUUGGCUCUUGCAUCGAUGAAGAACGCAGC
rnacentral:misc_RNA from 1 species